UAACUUCUGCGAUGUGCGCAAGUCCGAAUAAUUCAACCGACGUGAGAGAUACGGGAGUUCGAGUUUAGCAGUCUAGAGCAUGCCUUCCUUGGAAGGAAGCUCGAAGCUGCUAACAGGGCACCCACCUUGUGAGAGGCGGGUGUGAAUUAGUCGGAUAGCGGCAUUGCGGGAUACAA
rnacentral:other from 1 species